ACAAAUAUAUGUAUCUCUGUUUUAAAUCCUAGGUUGCAAAAUAAAGAGCUAUGGCAUCUGCAUGUACUGCUAGUUCAUGACAAAUGAACAUUUAUUGUCCAUCUCUUCAAAUUGAAAAGACUGCAGAGCCUGAAUUACCUGCAACGUUAUGCUUCCUGUGAAACAUCAGCCAGCCUACAAAUAGAAGCUCCCUUUUCCAGCUUUAAGCAAGAGGAACCACAAUGGGAUACAGAUCUUGGUAUCAUGGACUGGUCACUUUUUACAACCAACACUACUUGUAAAAUAAGAUUUACAAAUUAAUUCCUAUAAGCUAU